UGGGGAAUUUUAGACAAUGGGCGAAAGCCUGAUCCAGCAAUGCCGCGUGUGUGAAGAAGGCCUUCGGGUUGUAAAGCACUUUUGUCCGGAAAGAAAUCCUUGGCUCUAAUACAGUCGGGGGAUGACGGUACCGGAAGAAUAAGCACCGGCUAACUACGUGCCAGCAGCCGCGGUAAUACGUAGGGUGCAAGCGUUAAUCGGAAUUACUGGGCGUAAAGCGUGCGCAGGCGGUUUGCUAAGACCGAUGUGAAAUCCCCGGGCUCAACCUGGGAACUGCAUUGGUGACUGGCAGGCUAGAGUAUGGCAGAGGGGGGUAGAAUUCCACGUGUAGCAGUGAAAUGCGUAGAGAUGUGGAGGAAUACCGAUGGCGAAGGCAGCCCCCUGGGCCAAUACUGACGCUCAUGCACGAAAGCGUGGGGAGCAAAACAGGAUUAGAUACCCUGGUAGUCCACGCCCUAAAACGAUGUCAACUAGUUGUUGGGGAUUCAUUUCCUUAGUAACGUAGCUAACGCGUGAAGUUGACCGCCUGGGGAGUACGGUCGCAAGAUUAAAACUCAAAUGAAUUGACGGGGUCAUAGCUGUUU
rnacentral:rRNA from 1 species